rnacentral:rRNA from 1 species
GACAGAGGUGGCAAGCGUUGUUCGGAUUCAUUGGGUGUAAAGGGCAGGUAGGUGGUCUAGCAAGUCUGACGUGAAAUCCCAGGGCUCAACCCUGGAACUGCGUUGGAAACUGCAUGACUUGAGUACUGGAGAGGUGUGGGGAAUUCUCGGUGUAAGGGUGAAAUCUGUAGAUAUCGAGAGGAACACCAGUGGCGAAGGCGCCACACUGGCCGGUUACUGACACUGAGCUGCGAAAGCAAGGGGAGCAAACAGG